rfam:Danio rerio chromosome 7 genomic contig CTG751, GRCz11 reference primary assembly.
AUUUGCCACCAAAUCCCUGUUCGUAGUGUUGCUCACUGAAGCUAAGCAGGGCUGCACCCAGUCAGUACCUGGAUGGGAGGCCACAUGGGAAAGCUAGGUUGCUGCAGGAA